GACGAACGCUGGCGGCGUGCCUAAUACAUGCAAGUCGAACGAGAGCGACCGGUGCUUGCACUGGUCAAUCUAGUGGCGAACGGGUGAGUAACACGUGGGUAACCUGCCCAUCAGAGGGGGAUAACAUCCGGAAACGGAUGCUAAAACCGCAUAGGUCUUCGAGCCGCAUGGCUUGAAGGGGAAAAGAGGCGCAAGCUUCUGCUGAUGGAUGGACCCGCGGUGCAUUAGCUAGUUGGUGAGGUAACGGCUCACCAAGGCCGUGAUGCAUAGCCGACCUGAGAGGGUGAUCGGCCACAUUGGGACUGAGACACGGCCCAAACUCCUACGGGAGGCAGCAGUAGGGAAUCUUCCGCAAAGGACGCAAGUCUGACGGAGCAACGCCGCGUGAGUGAAGAAGGUUUUCGGAUCGUAAAACUCUGUUGUUAGAGAAGAACAAGUGCUAGAGUAACUGUUAGCGCCUUGACGGUAUCUAACCAGAAAGCCACGGCUAACUACGUG
rnacentral:rRNA from 1 species